rnacentral:rRNA from 1 species
GUACACGCUGUGACUAGCAUAUCAAUAAGCGGAGGAAAAGAGGGCUAUUACCUACGCUUAGGAUGUUGAUGAUGUAGCACAUCAUACACGCAUGACACACUGCAUAUCAAUAAGCGGAGGAAAAGGAACUAACAAGGAUUCCCCUAGUAACGGCGAGUGAAGCGGGAAGAGCUCAAAUUUGAAAUCUUAAAGGGUUUCCCUUUACGAAUUGUAGUUUAAAGAAGUGUUUUCUGUUGAGGUUUUGGUAAAAGUUCUUUGGAAUAGGACAUCAUAGAGGGUGAGAAUCCCGUAUUUGACCUUUACUUUCAACUUUGUGAUACACUUUCAAAGAGUCGGAUUGUUUGGGAAUGCAGUCCAAAAUGGGUGGUAAAUUUCAUCUAAAGCUAAAUAUUGGCGAGAGACCGAUAGCGAACAAGUACCGUGAGGGAAAGAUGAAAAGAACUUUGAAAAGAGAGUUAAACAGUACGUGAAAUUGUCAAAAGGGAAGCGUUUGACACCAGUGUUGUUUUUCUGAAAAUCAAUUAAAGAACUGUUUAUGCUAAGCUGUUUAGACUUUAUCAGCUAUCUGUUUAGUUUUGAGCUUUUCUUUAAUGCACUUUUCAGUUAACAAGUCAACAUCAAUUUCUUUUGCUGUAAAAAAGCUUGAGGAAGGUGGCUUGAGAUUCGUCUUAAGUGUUUAUAGCCUCUUGCCUAUGCAGUCGGAGAGAUUGAGGUCUGCAGCGUAGAUCCUUCGGGGCUAAAUGCAUUUGUGCUAAGUUAUAGCAUUUUAUAGACAACUUGUUGACUAUGAUUUGUCUUGUAGCUUACUCGCUUAUGUUAUUUUACCUACGCUUAGGAUGUUGACUGAUAUGUAGUCGUA